rnacentral:rRNA from 1 species
UACGAAGGGUGCAAACGUUGCUCGGAAUUAUUGGGCGUAAAGCGCACGUAGGCGGCUCUGAAAGUCGGAUGUGAAAGCCCUCGGCUCAACCAAGGAAGUGCAUCCGAAACUGCAGAGCUUGAGUACUUAAGAGGAUCGCGGAAUUCCCGGUGUAGAGGUGAAAUUCGUAGAUAUCGGGAGGAACACCAGUGGCGAAGGCGGCGAUCUGGGAAGAUACUGACGCUGAGGUGCGAAAGCGUGGGGAGCAAACAGG